AUUUAAGUAAUUUAAAAUAAAAUUUUGAUUUGUGGUAUCAAAAAUGCAAUUAAUUGCCUUAAAUU
rnacentral:tRNA from 1 species